CCUACGGGUGGCAGCAGUGGGGAAUAUUGCACAAUGGGGGAAACCCUGAUGCAGCGACGCCGCGUGGGUGAAGAAGGACUUCGGCGUGUAAAGCGCUAUCAGCAGGGAAGAACAUGACGGUACCUGAGAAAGAAGCCCCGGCUAACUCCGUGCCAGCAGCCGCGGUAAUACGUAGGGGGAAAGCGUUCUCCGGAUUUACUGGUUGUAAAGGGAGCGUAGACGGCGGUGCAAGACUGGAGUGAAAGGCGGGGCCCAACCCCCGGACUGCGUGGGAGACUGGUCGGCUGGAGGGCAGGAGGGGGAAGUGGAAUUCCUGGUGUAGCGGUGAAAUGCGUAGAUAUUAGGAGGAACACCAGUGGCGAAGGCGGCCUACUGGACUGUAACUGACGUUAAGGCGCGAAAGCGUGGGGAGCAAACAGGAUUAGAUACCCUUGUAGUC
rnacentral:rRNA from 1 species